AGCCGCGGUAACGACCGGGGCCCGAGUGGUGAUCGUGAUUAUUGGGUCUAAAGGGUCCGUAGCCGGUUUGGUCAGUCCUCCGGGAAAUCUGAUAGCUCAACUAUUAGGCUUUCGGGGGAUACUGCCAGACUUGGAACCGGGAGAGGUAAGAGGUACUACAGGGGUAGGAGUGAAAUCUUGUAAUCCCUGUGGGACCACCUGUGGCGAAGGCGUCUUACCAGAACGGGUUCGACGGUGAGGGACGAAAGCUGGGGGCACGAACCGGAUUAGAUACCCGGGUAGUCCCAGCCGUAAACGAUGCUCGCUAGGUGUCAGGCAUGGCGCGACCGUGUCUGGUGCCGCAGGGAAGCCGUGAAGCGAGCCACCUGGGAAGUACGGCCGCAAGGCUGAAACUUAAAGGAAUUGGCGGGGGAGCACAACAACGGGUGGAGCCCUGCGGUUUAAUUGGACUCAACGCCGGACAACUCACCGGGGGCGACAGCAAUAUGUAGGCCAAGCUGAAGACUUUGCCUGAAUCGCUGAGGAGUGGUGCAUGG
rnacentral:rRNA from 1 species